GCAGGAUGCCAAUCAAGCCUACCUCCCUGGGGAGCAGGGCUAAGGCUAAAGCAGGAGGAAGCACCACCCUUAUGGUCCUCGCAGGGCAAGAUCAGGACUCCAGGGAUCUAUAACCUCAGAAAGAUCCAGAGGCAAAGCCCAGCCCAAACCUAGGCUGCUCCCAUUCUCAUGAAAAAGGAGAUAAUGGUUAUCUCACCAGCUGAUGCUGAAGACUGAACGUGUUAACUAGGUCUAAUCUUGUGGCACAACACAAGCAUCUAACAAGUUCAUUCUGUCGCAUGAGUACCGCAUGUUUUUCCUAAACAUUUCCGAUUUGGAAGUGAGGAGUGUAAUCAUCAUAUCUAGCGGUGGUGGUGGGGAAUACCCCUACCACAGGAAUGGCCCAGAAAAGUAGCAGCAAGCACAUCACCGCUGUUUGGCCAGCCCUAAAACCCUGUCUGUGCAAACAGAGGCUGUGAGCUGCCAAGAAUCUUCUUCACAUGCUCGGCUCACGAAAACCCCCCAAAGCCUGAAUUUGGAAGCCUCCCAGCCGAUCUCAUCAGGAAUGUGACCUGUGCCCUGGCCUUGGCUGGAAAAGCCACUGGACUCCACAGCCUAGUCUUUGAUGAUAGGUGAGACAGACUUAAAACAGGUUCUCCUCACUGGGAGGGGGGGAAAGAAGGGCUGCAGGACAGGCGCUGCAGAGGUGGCUGCCACCGGCUCGGGGUAAGCAGGGCUACCCACUUCUUCCUGUGGGUUCUCUCUCUUUCGUCAGACCCGUUUGGAUGCAGUUUCCUUUCUCUCUCACUCCCACGUAGAGCAUCGCAGUUUUCCUCUCCAGCCCCCCCCCCCGCCCCCCGAGCCCUUUCUCUCUCCAGAUACACCCAGGAUGUCCAGUGAUGCCGUUUCAGGCGAUGGUUUGAGCCAUGGCCCAAGCCCACCUUGCAACCUAAAAAGCCAGGUGCAAAGCACGUAUGAGAAAGGAUGAGCAGAAGCCCGACCACCUUGCAAAAACUCAGAACCGGAAAACAAGGCAGUUGCGGUUCCUGCAUUUGAAAACAAACCAACUGGAGGUGGCAACUGCUUCCCACUCCUCGCCUUGCUGGCUGUGACUAAAGCCCCACCUACUCCGACUUAUCCAGGACUCUCAGGUUUUUUCUGCAGGUACCCCAUAGCAAAACUCAAGGCUACAAAUAUUCUGGCCCCGGUUCAGAAGUUCAGCCCAUGAUCUUCACGACGGGGAGCAUGGCGGCAUGCAGGCAGAUACAGUGCUUGAGUUGAGAGUCCUACAUCUUGAAGGCAACAAGGAAAUCAACUGGAAGUCACACUAAGGGAUGCUUGACUUCCCUGGACCUGGCCGUGCCCAGCCCACUUCUUUCUCUCUGCUCUGGACUCUUCCAGACGCCACUAGAAUAUGUUCUAUCUCUUAUUCACGAGAAGAACCUUCCUGCGAACAACGGAGCUGUCAUGUUGGCAGUUUCUUCCCUGGCCCUGCCUUGUGUACAUCUGGAACCUUCAUCUGGCCAUGGGUGGAGAUAGAGACAGAGCCCCACAUUGGAGCACCGGAC